AGCCUGCCCAGUGACCCGUUUAAACGGCCGCGGUAUCCUAACCGUGCAAAGGUAGCAUAAUCACUUGUCCCCUAAAUAGGGACUAGCAUGAACGGCUAAAUGAGGAUUACACUGUCUCUUGUAGUUGACCAAUGAAACUGAUCUUGUAGUCCAAAAGCUACAAUAAAAACACCAGACGAGAAGACCCUGUGGAGCUUCAAACCAGAACCAAAUUAAUGACCUCCCGGUUUUUAGUUGGGGAAACUUCGGAGUAUACACCAACCUCCGACAAACUAGUUAAGACAAACAAGCCUAAACAAUUUACUUGACCCAAUAGUUAUUAUGAACUACUUGACCAAUGAACCAAGUUACCCCAGGGAUAACAGCGCUAUCCCCUUUUAGAGUCCCUAUCGACAAGGGGGCUUACGACCUCGAUGUUGGAUCAGGACACCCCAAUAA
rnacentral:rRNA from 1 species